GGAUAGCUCAGUUGGUUAGAGCGUGGUGCUGAUGACGCCGAGGUUACAGGUUCGAUUCCCGUACGAGACA
rnacentral:tRNA from 1 species